UUCGGCAUCGAACCGUCCGCGCACGCACCACGUCAGUGACGCAGCAAGACUUUCUUGCGCUAUACGGAGAUUCCUGUAUUUGCUACCUACGCUUAAAGGAACGGUGCCGCUCGCUACCCUUUCCUUCCCCGAGCCUGUGCUCGCGGGGAGGACAUCGUAGUAGCGCCUGUGCCCCUCGCAUCGAGCAUGCCGUAAGGCGCGCACGUUGCGACGGUUCUCGGGCGCUUCUUGACGGUUCGGAUACGGAACAUUCGGUGGGCUUUGGUGUCUCGACACCUUUYGAUGUCCAAAUUCAAGCGUUUUGUCGCUAGACAUGUACGACUGCCACGCUCGCCGCGGGUCUCCCGCGCGGUGCGUGGCGUCGGCAAAGGAAUGCUACCUGGUU
rnacentral:misc_RNA from 1 species